rfam:Brassica rapa chromosome A3, whole genome shotgun sequence.
GAGCAGAUGAUGAUUUUUUUAUGCACUACAACGGUGCUUCCAAUUAACCAUGCGGAUUAUAUAAAUCGAGCUUUUUAAAACUGAUGCUCC